rnacentral:rRNA from 1 species
UGGGGAAUUUUGGGCAAUGGCCGAAAGGCUGACCCAGCGACGCCGCGUGUGGGAGGAAGCCCUUCGGGGUGUAAACCACUGUCAGGGGGGACGAAAGAGGAGGGCGUUAAUCGCGCUCUCCAGUGACGGUACCCCCAAAGGAAGCGCCGGCUAACUCUGUGCCAGCAGCCGCGGUAAUACAGAGGGCGCAAGCGUUGUUCGGAAUUACUGGGCGUAAAGCGCGCGCAGGCGGAACGGACAAGUCCGGAGUGAAAUCUCGCCGCUCAACGGCGAGGCUGCUUUGGAUACUGACGAUCUAGGGACCGGUAGAGGCUGGUAGAAUUGCAGGUGUAGCGGUGGAAUGCGUAGAGAUCUGCAAGAAUACCCGUGGCGAAGGCGGCCAGCUGGGCCGGGUCCGACGCUGAGGCGCGAAAGCGUGGGGAGCAAACAG